AGAAUCAACGCUGGCGGCGUGCCUCAGACAUGCAAGUCGAACGCGAAAGUCCCCUUCGGGGGACAAGUAGAGUGGCGCACGGGUGAGUAACACGUAGGUAAUCUACCUUCGGAUGGGGAAUAACAACCGGAAACGGUUGCUAAUACCGCAUAAUGCAGCGGCACCUAAUGGUGACAGUUGUUAAAGCGGGGGAUCGGAAGACCUCGCGUCUGAAGAGGAGCCUGCGGCGGAUUAGCUAGUUGGUAAGGUAAUGGCUUACCAAGGCUACGAUCCGUAACC
rnacentral:rRNA from 1 species